AAUGGAGGAAGCUUAGGAAGAGGAGGGCAUGGCUUCUUGUGAAAUGGAGGGAUUUUUGGGAUUGGAGGAAGAGGCUUGUAAAAGGUUGGUGGUUUGGGUUUAUAGGUCGGAACCGGAGGUGGUUUAUAAACUGGCGGUUUUGGUGUCGGCGUGUAGAUAGGAACAGGAGGUGGUUUAUAAACUGGCGGUUUUGGUGUUGGCGUGUAGAUAGGAACAGGAGGCGGCUUGUAGACUGGUGGCUUAGGUUUUGGCUUGUAAACUGGUGGUUUAGGUGGAAAAGGUUUCUUGACAGGUGGACAUGGUUUUUUCGUUGGUACUGGUGGCGGAAGAGGCUUUAUUGGUGCUGGUGGCGGCUUGUAGACUGGUACUGGCGGAGGGUAAACUUUUGGUGGUGGCUUAUAGACUGGUACUGGUGGAGGGAGUACCUUUGGUGGUGGCUUGUAGACUGGAACUGGUGGAGGGAGUACCUUUGGUGGGGGCUUGUAGACGGGAACUGGAGGAGGGAAUUCCUUUGGUGGUGGCUUGUACACUGGAACUGGUGGAGGGAAUUCCUUUGGUGGUGACUUGUAGACUGGAACUGGUGGUGGAAGUGGUUUAGGAGGGAAAACCUUAGGUGGGAAUGGAGGAUAAACCUUAGGUGGGAAUGGAGGAUAAACCUUUGGAGGAAAUGGAGGGUAAACCUUUGGAGGAAAGGGAGGAAAAACCUUAGGAGGGAAUGGAGGGAAGACCUUAGGAGGGAAUAGGUAUGGAUGAUGGCCAAAGUUUUUCAGUGGGGGAAAUUUCCACUUAUGCAAAGGUGGGAAUUUGGGUAGUGGUGGGUACUUGAAAUGAG
rnacentral:lncRNA from 1 species